UGGAACCUCAGGUCACAAACAUUUCUGACAAUGACCAAAUCGGGUGACAACCAAAAAUUUUAGAAAAAUUUUGCAUCUGGUCGCAAACACAUCCUCGGGUGGCGAUCAAACACAGCCAUGGUGAUUUCCCCUUCCGCGCCAUUUCUUUUGUCUGUGCAUGUGCAGUCAGUCUUGCUUCCAGUCACGACCAAAUUGGGUUGCAACCAAAGUCCUGGAAUGGAUUACGGUUGUGACCGGAGUUUCCACUAUAGUUUUUUUACUU